UCCAAUCCUCAGUGCAAAAGAUGAGCAACUGUGUUAGAAAAUAUGUGGUUCUUGGAUAAAACAUUUAAAAAAGUCAAAGGUACAAUAUGAGGAGGGAAGGAAACUACAACGCCCACGAAUCACUUUGACUUUUCCUGAGCUGCAUGCAACCAACUAGCUGGCUGGCUGUUCAGACAAUGUAACACUAAGGCUACAACAAUGGCUGAAGAAAUAUUUUAAUGUGUUAUUUUAAAAAAAGCAAGAAUUGAGGAAGAAGAUAUGCCACUGCCUCCAUCGACUGAGUCCACUAGACACAUCAGCCCACAACGAGUUUUCCUGGAGGUGGAGUGGCAUGCCUCGGAUGCUUGCGGGUGGCGCUGACAGAAUUUGAAGUGGGUCGUCCACUAACCUCAGCCCCCUGGAGUACGGUGGGUCUGGUCCAGAGAGCGGAAGGAAGCGGUGUCCUGCUGAGACACCGAGUCUGGUCUGGAGGUAAUGGGCAGAAGGGAAAAAGAGCCUUGCCUGUGGCAUGGCACAAAAUGAAUUACUGCCAUCUUUCUGCUCCUCUGCCUCACAGUGAGAGUAGAGUCUGGAGGGCCAGAUAACAAGGGCACAGAACCACAAACUAAAGCAAAAUGGAGAACUGCCCAAGAAAAAAAAAAUAAUAAAGCUGUCUGGCAGAGUUAAUAUCAUGUCAUUUAUGAUGAUUUGGCUGAACGUUUGAUGAGGUCAUUCUCAUUUCAGUGUUAAUGUCAGCCCAGACAGUGGAGCAGGGUGGUGGCAAUGACUGGAACAUUUUCUUUUAUUCCUUAGCUCCCACUCUUCUCCUUUAGAGUAUCGGGACAUGGUAUGAAUCUUUUUUUCCAGUGGUGUGUUACAACACUCUUGGACUGGAGUGAUAAGACUGUCAUAUGCUAAAAAUGCUCCACAAAGCAGACAGAAUGGGAUGCAGGAUGAUCAUGAUUAUGAUGAAGCCUAGUCGUGAAAGAUGUAUGACAUACACAGACUGCGUGUCAUACAUCUUUCUCGUGAAGGGGUCUGGAAGCAGAUUUAUUUUCCUGCCUUUCAUACAAGGAUGUUCAAGUAAAUAAAUGACAAAGCCACCAAGUUAAACAAUUAUUCUGCUACAUUCUCUCUUAAUGUGUCAAAGGUCUGGAAAAAUAGAUGCUGCUUUGUUAUCCUCACACUGUAAGUACAGAUAAUAAAUCAGCGACUCCUGCAGCAACCUGUCACCUGCAAUUUAUAGACCGGACUCAAUAUUUCAUAUGCAUCAGUGUUUUUUUCCCUUUCCACCAUGCAUGUGCACACGGGUUUCUACAGCAUCUGUGGGGUGAUCCAAGUAAUUUCCUAUAAACAUGAUUUAAAUUUCCUCAGGGAUCAAUACUCCACCAUCAUGAAUCUUGUGCUCUUUGAUGCUCGUUUGGCCUACACGGGUGAAGUCUCCUGCCCACCGGGUUUGUAUGUUGUGGUUACCGUGGUCAGGGGGAGGAUGUAAGACGAUAUGUCCAACCUUAAGAGCAUCCUGAAGAGGAAGUACUCACUAAUAUGGCCGAUCGAUAAAAGAAGGUUCAUCUUGCCUUUGCCAAACUCAUGGUUAAGCAUUUUCGCUUGUAGACUUUUUAAUACAUACUGCAUCUUCCACUAAAUUUAAUUUACGUCAGCAAAACUACAGAGAACCAGUGAAUCAGCAGAGACCUUUUCAUCAAAUCCAAUCUGAAUAUGUUUAGAUGGGACAUGACUAGACCAUGUAAAAAAAGAAAGCAGAAAAAUGGGUGCAUAAUUA